CAACAGCAAUACUUAAAAGGGAUAUAAGAUGAGGUGGGGGAUUUGUAGUCCACCCAAUUACAAGAUUUCUUUUCCUAGCUGAAACAGCAACCCAAUCUGCACACCAAUUAGCUACUCUAUUAGUAAAAGCAAUCUUGAGGCCCUGGUCUGCUAACAGGAAAGCAGAAACAUUAUGAAUGAUAGCCUGCAAUUCCCAUGGAAUUGGAGCUGCAGGAUUCAAUCAAAUAUUACAAAUUUGUAGUGAAUCUGAUUCAAUACAACAUUGAGAAAAAACCUCUGGAAAUAGCAAAAAGAACAGCUGCUUUCAUAACCAGACCUUGUGCUUAAAGUGGAGGAGCAAAUGAAGGAGGCCAAGCAUCCAUCCAACAAAAGACCUUGUGAAUUGCGGGCAAUCACUCCAUAACCUGCUUCUGAAGGCUCAUAAUCAUAAGAUGUGGCCACAUUAAUUUUAAUACUACCAACUGGCGGGGCUUGCCAAUACGAUAUACGAUAUUUACCUUUCCACGAUAAAAAUACUCAAUGCUUAGGGAGUAUAUUUGGAAGAGAUUGACGAUAUUAUUCUGUAGUGUGUAUACAAAGUCCAACAUUGCAAGAUUACAAAAAAAUUACAAACCAGACUUUGAAGGGAAAAAUGAACUCAAAUUAAAUUACAAGGCAGGCACAGUUUCAUUUCAUCAAACUAUUAUUGAUUAGGAGAUUUACAGAAUUCACUGCAAGAGAGAAACACUCUUAUAUAUUUGAUAUUGAAGCAGGGUCAUGAGGUUGCAGGAAUAACUCAUAAAGCUACAGCGGGCGUAACCUUAAAAUCAAGAUUCCAGAGCUCAAAAGUUCCCUUGACAAAAUCAUAGUGUGCACCUUUCAGUGCCAGAGUUUUCUUCAGCAGUCCCUCUCUCACGAAUGGAUAUGUCAACAGGUUUUCCAGUGAUACAUUCACAGCUUCCUGCAUUUGUUCAGUAACAACUAUAAUUAAUUAACAGACACCAUAAGGUUGAUUAAUUAGUUCCUACAAUUUUAUUUGAAACCCAUUUAAUUAAAAAUUGAUUCCCAACUCAACUGAGGAAACUUUUGAACAGCAUAUGAUCAAAUUUAAAUUAAUUGUCCAUUAUCAAAUUAAUAGGCUUCAUCAGCCGUGUGCUAUGAGUCACAUGGCUCUUCUAGAAUCUGAUGCCAAGUUGCAUAUUGUCGGUAGCCUUCAAACAUUGAAGUUGAGGUAAAGGCAUUUUAAAAAAAGAAGAAAGAAGAAAGGGUUGAGCAUGAAGGAUAAAGGGAACCUUCUUCUUUGUCUCUUAUUUAUUUGAAGAUUUCCCUUUAACCCAAACGUGAUUAAUAUAAUAAUACAUUAUAAAUAAACAAACAAAUUCAAAAUUAAGCUGCAGCAAAUAUAACUUGCCUUCUCGCAGUUGAGGCAUUGUUCUUCAAAACUUAAGCUGCUGUAGUCUGUCUUAACCUUGGUCUUUGCGAUCGAACAGAUUUGAACCCAAUUUUCUAUAAAUUCACUAGCAGUGGUUCCAUCAUCUGGGAUAGACAUGAGCCCCUUUAUACCACCACAGCAGCUGUGGCCAAUAACCACAAUAUUCUCCACCUAACCUCUCAUUCCAAGGAAAAGAUGAUAAGAAAGCGAUCGAGUAAUAAAACUUACAGUAUUUAUCCAUUAUUUUUUGAUAUGCAGUUCAGGCAACAAAAGAGUAUUACAGCAUAUGACUACGAAUAAUCCAAGAAAUGUUCUUAUAUCUAGUAGAUAAAAAUAAACUGAAGUGGAAGACACAUGAAUCUCUCAGUUUGGUGGUUGGCUUGGGGCCAUUUGGCAAUUGGCAGUAUCAGUGAAAAAUCAUGUGGGGUAAGAAGAGUAAUGACUGGAUUUCACGUUCCUCUCCACAAUUGUCAAUAUAAAGAGCCAGCACCAUUAAAGAAUUAAUUAACCUAAUGAUGCGUUAAGAGUAAAGGUUAAUUGACUAUUCACCUUUAGAUGCAGCACUGCAUAUUCAAUGGCAGCCCCCACACCGGAGUACAUCGUCUUUUCAUAUGGAGGGACCAUGUUGGCAAUGUUGCGGACCACAAAGGCCUCUCCUGGUUGGAAAUUGAGGAUGUGAGAAGGGCAAACUCGAGAAUCUGAGCAAGCAAAUACCAUAAACUGCAUAUAUAAAACGUUAAGUUAGCUCAAUUGUGUAUGUCCCAUGAUGAUUCAUGCAUCAAAUUGAAAUAAUAGAAAGAUAAUAGCAAACAAGUCAUUAUAUGAAAACCCCACUUGAUUAGCUGGAUAAAUAACAGCUAGAAGAUGGAAACAAAUUGACAAAAAUGCUGAGAUAGCAUUGCUAUCAUAUUGAAGUGCCCAUGUAUACACACUAACCUUGGGGCUCUGGCCUUUGGCUAGUGCACCGUACAGUUUGGGAUCUUUCUCAUAUUUCUCUUUCUUGAAGUGGAUGAACCCGGUUUUCAUCCUCUCCUCCGGGUUAAACGCUGCCGUACUGCCCGCGUCUAACUCGGCCGUUAUCUGCUUUAUUUUUGCGGCGGCGACGCUCCCGAGGUCAGCUUUCUCACUGCAAACGAGGUCAGAUCAAAAAACAGAAAAAACAACAAUCAGUUAAACGCGGUGUUUAAAAGCGGGGACCCAUCUUCACGGAGCGCUGAUACAAGCCGCUCAUUCAAUGGGUCCCACGUGGUAACAUAACUACCCGAUAACGCGUCCUCAAAAUGACGACGACGACGACUCAAAAUCAUUCUCUGCUAAGGAUUUGUUUGUUUGGACGCUGAAAGGACACACACGCCACAGUACCUGAGAAGCUUGGACAGUCCUGCAAUGGCUUCCUCGUACGAAUCGUUUGCCAUGUCGUCUUCUUCCUUCUGCUGAUGAUGAUGAAUAUUCCAUACAUUAAGACACAGAGAAAGCAAAAUAAAUCAUUAAUUGUCUCCUUUUGGACUUUUCUAGCAUCACAUAUUCCAGAAGCCAUAUCAGAAAAUAGGGAAAAAGAACAAAAACGCUGCGUUUCUGAAAUAUUCCACAGUAUCAGCAGAAAUGAAGGUCAAAAACCAGAAACAAGAUUAUAAGAAAAAGAUUGGUCAAAAACCAGAAACAAUAUAAUAAGAAAAAGAUUAGUUAUGAGAGAAGUGGAAAUGAUUAAUUAUAUCCAUGAAAAGUGAGGAAGCCAAGGAUGAAGUGUGGAAGCUGAUUGAAUUAGAAAAGAGAAGAACGAAAAACGAUGCAAAAUCAGAAUCGGGAUCGGUGCAUAUAGUAGUGAGCAGUGGAAGAAGCAUAUCUGAUUACGGACCUUUUUCUCUGAGAGAAUGUGAGAUUCCGGUUGGGCUUUUUCCUUCUGUCUGUUUAGGAAGGGAUCAGCUAGGCUCCAUUUAAGGACCUCACUUAACUCACAUGCUUGUGGCUUCACAUAAAUACCGCACUUUCUCUUUGACCAACGGACCAAGUAUUCCCAUUUUCUUUCACUUGGGAAAAUUAUUGCAAUCCAUUGUUUUUUUUUUCGUAAUUAUAAGAUAUUAAUAUUAUAUUUUUAUAUUUAUUAAUAAUAUUUUAUUAUUAUUAUUUUUAUAUAUUGAGUAAAAAAAAAUUUUAAAUUCUUUUGGUAAUUUUUUUAAAAAAAUAUUUAUAAUUAGAGAUAUUAUGUUAAUGGCAUGUUUGGACCCGUUCAAUAAAGGAUGCGAAAAAUAGGGAGGAAAAAGGAAGGAAGACGACGACGGUGUUUGAAUGGCUAGCGGGAGUUUCGACGGGUAGGUCAAUGGCGAGAAGAGAACGUAUGAUGUUAACACGUGGCAGGAAGCAACGUGACCGUAAUGCGCAUCAGUUUCUGAGGAGAGUCCAAUUGAAAUGAUUACUUCCAUUGUUUCUUAAAUUCUAAUUAAAGUAAUAUACGCCUCACAAAUUCUUUAUAAAAAAGUAUCUAAUUUUAAAAUAUUUGAACAAAUUUUUUUAUUUAAGCUCUGUUUAUUUAAAAAAAUUUAAAAUAUU
rnacentral:misc_RNA from 1 species